rnacentral:rRNA from 1 species
ACGGGUGAGUAAUGUCUGGGGAUCUGCCCGAUAGAGGGGGAUAACCACUGGAAACGGUGGCUAAUACCGCAUAACGUCGCAAGACCAAAGAGGGGGACCUUCGGGCCUCUCACUAUCGGAUGAACCCAGAUGGGAUUAGCUAGUAGGCGGGGUAAUGGCCCACCUAGGCGACGAUCCCUAGCUGGUCUGAGAGGAUGACCAGCCACACUGGAACUGAGACACGGUCCAGACUCCUACGGGAGGCAGCAGUGGGGAAUAUUGCACAAUGGGCGCAAGCCUGAUGCAGCCAUGCCGCGUGUAUGAAGAAGGCCUUCGGGUUGUAAAGUACUUUCAGCGGGGAGGAAGGCGGUGAGGUUAAUAACCUUGCCGAUUGACGUUACCCGCAGAAGAAGCACCGGCUAACUCCGUGCCAGCAGCCGCGGUAAUACGGAGGGUGCAAGCGUUAAUCGGAAUUACUGGGCGUAAAGCGCACGCAGGCGGUCUGUUAAGUCAGAUGUGAAAUCCCCGGGCUUAACCUGGGAACUGCAUUUGAAACUGGCAGGCUUGAGUCUCGUAGAGGGGGGUAGAAUUCCAGGUGUAGC